CGUAGAACGAGUAAUUAAAAUUGUUUCUGAUACAAUCUCUCGCUUUACAGAAUGGAAACUGAGACCCCCAGAGAUGAAGUUGUGUACUGAAGAUGAUGCAGUGAGAGACAGCAGACAAGACACACUGACCCGACCCUGCCACGAUCGGUGUUUUCUUAUUGCUGUUUGGUUGUUUUUGAUUGAACCCCAGAGCACUUUGCCACCCUGUGACAUUCACCUUUUUUUUAUUUUUUAUUUUGAAACAGGGCCUGGCAAAGUUGCUGAGGCUGGCCUCAAACUUGCAAUCCUCCUGCCUCAGCCUCCCUGGUCACUGGGAUUACAGAUGCGCACCCCAUGCCCAGCUGCGUGGUCUGUUUUUUAAAAAUAUUUCCAGUUGUAGAUAGACACAAUACCUUUAUUUUAUUUACUUAUGUUUAUGUGGUGCUGAGGAUGGAACCCAGGGCCUCACAUAGGCUAGGAAGGACUCCACCACUGAGCCCCAGCCACAGCCCCUACAUGGUCCAUUUUUGGUUCCCUCCGUCCACCACCCUCCAGAAGUCUGGGCUGUGCAGUGAGGCCAUUCUUUACAGGAGUUUAAAACAGCACACUUUGUUCUUUUCUCCUCCUCCUCCUCCUCCUCCUCCUCCUCCUCCUCCUUCUUCUUCUUCUUCUUCGUGCUGGAAAUUGAACCCAGGGGCACUAACCACUUAGCCACAUUGCCAGUCCCCCACCCCGCCUUUUUUUGGUAUUUUAUUUAGAAACAGGGUCUCACUGAGUUGCUUAGGGCCUUGCUAAGUCACUGAGGCUGGGUUUAAACUCACGAUCCUCCUGCCUCGGCCUCCUGAGCUGCUAGGAUUACAGUGUGUGCCACCGCCCAACUGACCUGUUUGUUCGUAACUCACCUUAGGGUCAGGGAUAAUUAUGGGUUCAGAGGGGUGGGGUUGGACCAAUGUACAGACCUCUCCCUUGGCCUCUGGCGUUGGAGUCAGCUCCCAGGCUCCUGUUUCAUUAAUAAUUAAGGAAGAACUUCUCUGAAACUUCCCCUACCCCCUUCUUAUCAGCCUGGGAGGAGGUGUGUGGGCAGAUAGAGGUAGGACUUCUGAGGGCCCCACCUCUCUGAUCAAUAGGACUCUGUGUCUCUGACCACUUGUGCUUCUAGCCUCAGGCCCCAGCCAGGGACCAGCUCUCCAACUGCCUGGGGAGCCCUCACUUCACAGUGGGGGAUGAGCAUCCCCAGUUCUGGCAAAACGAUGCUCAGGCUCAGCCCAUGGCUCACCCAUCUGCAGCUGAGGUCAGUACAUUUUCUGAUCUGCUUUGCACUGCAGCAGCACAGGUGAGUUUGUCCCAUGGAAGAGAUUUUUUUUUUUGCACCAUUCUCAGAAAGGGGUCAUAAGAGCCUCUUGCCCUUUUUGUUUAUAGAAUGCUAUGAUUUUGCUAAGAAGCAUCAUGAUUAAAAUUAAAUGAGGGCUGGGGUUGUGGCUCAGUGGUAGAGCACUCGCUUAGUAUGUGUGAGGCCCUGGGUUCGAUCCUCAGCACCACAUAAAAAUAAAUAGAUAAAAUAAAGGUAUCGUGUCCAACUACAACUAAAAAAUAUAAAUAUUAAAAAAAAAUUAAAUGAGAUUGCCGCAUGAUCCAGAGUUCCACUUCUGGGUAAAUACACAAAAAAAUUGGAAGCAGAGACUCAAACAUACUCGUACACACAUAUUCAUAGCCACAUUAUUCAAGAGCUGGGGCUGUAGCUUAAUGAUAAAACACUGGCCCAGCACCCCCUGAAAAAGAGUGAUACAUUGUAGCAGCAUUAUUCAAAGUCAUGAAAAUGUUGGGAAGAAAAAAAUAAGUGUCUCUCAACAGAUGAUUGGACAAACAAAAUAAAAGAUGUGAACAAAAUGGAACAUUAUUCAGCCCUAAAAAGGAAGGAAACUCUGAACCCUGCUACAAGACUGAAUCUUUUUUGGUAUUGGAGAUUUAACCCAGGGGCAUGUUGCCACUGAGUUAUGUCCCCAGCAGCCCCCCCCCACACACACACACAGGUCUCUCUCUAAGUUGCUUAGAGCCUCAUUAAAUUGCUGAGGCUAGCCUUGAACCUACAAUCCUCCUGUCUCAGCCUCCCAAAUUGCUGGGAUUACAGGUAUGCACCAACUCACCCGACAAGAAGAAUGAAUCCUGAAGACAUUAUGCUAAGUGAAAAGGGGAGAAAUACUACAUGACUUCACUUAUGUAAGGUCCCUAAAUAGUGCAAGUUUUAGGAACAGAGAGUAGAAUGGCACAGGGCACAGUGAUGCAUGGGAGUGGCUCGGGAGGCUGAGGCAGAGGAUUGCAAGUUCAAAAUCAGCCUCAGCAAUUUGGCAGGACCCUAAGCAACUUGGUGAGACCCUACUCAAAAUAAAAAGGACUAGGGAAGUGGCUCAGUGGUUGAGUGCCACUGGGUUUAAUUCCUUACAAAAAAAGAAAAUGAAGAAAGUAGAAGAGCAAUUACCAGGGAUGAGGAGGAGGAAAGAAUGGGACGUUACUGUUCCGUGGGUGGAGAGUUCCUGUCUUACAAGGUGCGUGGUGGUGAUGGUUGCGGAAUAAUGGGAAUGUGCUUCAGGCCACUAACUGUACCCUUAAAAAUGGUUAAAAUGAUAAAUCUCAUCUUUUGUAUUUUUUGCCAUUUAAAAAAAAACUCACAAUUAAAAGAUUCGUUUAACUAG
rnacentral:lncRNA from 1 species